GUGGACUCUUUGGGACUAAAAUGUGUUUCUUAGCCGGUAGUCCCCACUUUAAUGGUGCAAAUAUUUGCUAGAACACUAUUUGAAUAUGUGAUAUUAUUGGUAAGCUGAUCUCGCUAUUUUAUGUCAAAGAUAUUCAACUUGCUUAAGCAGCAGCACAGUUUAAAAAUAAAUCUACAGGCCACUAAAGUGUUAAAUAGACUUGCACAAAGUCAUUCAUAUGACGAAAACAAAAACAUUUUUCAGUAUUUAUUUUUGUAGUUGUUCUCAAUAAAAAAAUCAGUAGUAUUUCAUGCAAGAUAACAGGAGAAAUUAAGUACAUUUCGGCAGCAUAGAAGCUAUGGCUGAUGUUCAGUAGGUGUCUCUGUAGCUUUACUUUUCUCUCAGAUAGAAGGCCAAGAGUUUGGAAUGCUUGUUUUUUGUCACUAGAGAACAAACAAAGGAGUGAGUCAGCAAAGGAAAAUAUGACAGAAUGAAACCAAACAGUACACGUUUAUUGCUGCCAUUUAGCAUAUGACUUUCUGUAAGGAUUCAGGAAGGUGUUUUUCCUGAGGGGAACUUCCUUCAACAUUUGGGAUUGCCUGAAAUUGCAACACAUGUUAGUAUCUGUCGGGUAUUAAAGAGCUUUUACAUUCACAACUCCACAACAGUUGAACAUUUCACAGGAUAAGAGAAGAACUCUCAGUUACAGCUUGUCUGAUAGACUGCCCAGUGCAGAGCUAAGCCAUGAAAGCCAGCAGCAUCAAGAAGUCAGAAAAGCAGAAUAUUGUGAAAAAAGAUCAAAAGACGCUGAAAGAGAUUGCACAACAGCUUCGACAAAUUGGAGAUCUUUUGAAUAAAAGCAAGUGGCCCUGCUUUAUAUUUCGGUUUUGCAAACACUAAUAAGCAGCUUUCAGAUCCUCAGAGUGUGCUGCACACAAUAUCACAUGGGCACUUUAACAAUACUCAAGUGGAGGGCACUCACUGAAGUCAUCAUUAAGACACAAUGCAAAUCAGAAUAACCUGUAAGCACUUUUAUGUGCCAUUGCAUUCACUUUACUUCCAUGGAUAUGACUGGAAUCAUUUGUGGGAUAUCUGCUUUGGAGCUAUGCACAAUUCAAAGCAAGUGUUCUGGCUUUGGGCAAAAAUGAGCAAUUCCUUUGUGUUUUCUUAUCAGUUAGAGAAACUUAUACAGAGACAUUCAUCAAAAUGCUUACCACGACAUGAUGACAUGGUGCUUUGGUUUUAUCAAGUCACCUCUGAUAUCUGAUGCAAAUUUCAUUUGACUUCUUUUGAAAUUUAGAACUGAACAAGAAUUGCACAACACAUGCAUAUGCUGGCUUAUGCCUGUAAUGAUUUGUAUGUCAGAAUGACCAGUGACGGAGUUAUCCAUUUAAUUUUUGUCAGGAGUCUUCUGCUUUGUUGUUUAUAUUUCUUUUUUCUUUGUAUUUAUUUAUGUUGAAAACUUAUUUUUAUUUAUUCUAAGUAUUAUUGUUCAAAUAUUACUUAUUGCAUCUAAAUGCUCUUAUAAAAUGAUGCAUUAUGUUUUAAAGUG